CUUGCGGCCACAUCACGUUGAAACACCGGCUCGCGUACUUUUACCGAAGUUAAGCAACGUCGGGCCUGGGUAGUAUUUAGAAGGGUGACUGCUUGGGAAUACCAGUGCUGUAAG